rnacentral:lncRNA from 1 species
UGGUGGGGUGUUUAUGUCUGCUGCAAACAGUGCUGGUUUUUUACUGAAUUAUUAAAUUAAUGCUGCUACUGUUAUUUUGUUUAGCUUUAUCAAUGAUCCUUUUAAAGUUUUUAAAUAUUAAGUAUUAUAUGCUAGAAUACUUUCUGUAAGUUUAUAUUACAUAAUACAGUACUGAACUAUUUUAUUUUUUAUGAACACUGUAUUUGGUGCAGUUUGAUCCAGAUAGUCUAUGUAUUGCUAAACAAAAAGCACAAACUUGAUCUACAAUAAUUAUAUGGGUGGCAUCAAUCAAUAUUAUUGGCUCUUAGAGAAGCAUCACAUAGGGACAUGUGGGAAAAAAUCAUACUAGUACUUUAUCAGAGAUAUAGAUGUGGUGGUUAAUGUAUAUGUUUAUGUAAAAUGGCAGACGAAAAAUCUUUAACAAUCUUGGAAUUCAGAAGACAUAUAGCUAGGAACUAUUUGAACCUUAGAAUUGAGGAAAAAUUACCAAGAGAAUAAUCAUCAGUAGCACUUCUGCCAAGGUCUGUAAUGUUAAGAACAAGAUUUGAUGAAAUUAGACAUUUUAUCAUGAAAAGAGCAAGGCAAAGAAGAUGCCAAAAUCAGGAGUGCAAAGAUAAACUCUGGAUCUAUUGUGGAAAGUAUAAUUUAUUAAUCUGUCCAUUGUCCUCAAAUGAGGACACCUUUUUUUUCCAGUUGAAAAAAAAAUUGAAAACAUAUUGUUAUAUCUCUCUCUCCUCGGUUCCAAGGGAACCGAGGAGAGAAAGGUUUGUUAUAUCUAGCUUUGAUUGAUACCUAAAAGUAAGAAAAUAACAUUUUUACAUAAAAAAUUGGCAUCAAGUAACUUGGGUACUAAUGGGUUAAAGGAAAAUAAUUAUUUUUAAUCUGCAUUAUUUUUUCUAUUAAUGUUAUGUUGUUGUAUUAAUUAAUGUUAAUUUGAAAGAAUUGUUGGCAUUUUUAUUAUAUUUAAAUUUUUAUUCAGCCCAUUAUUCCAGUCUAAAUGUAAAGCAUUUUUCAUUUUAUCAAGUUCAGGUUGCAAGUUUUUCACUUUAGAUAAGUAACAGUUAAUAUAUCAUCAUGUGUAACCACUUUUGUACAGUUAAGAUUGUUCCACCAGUGCGGAACUGCGACGGAAAAUACAUCUGACAAAAGCAGUGCGGUUUUGAUGUCAAUCUGUGGCGUAAAAACGGCUACUGUCCAGAGUCUAGCUGAGGUGAGUUCGGAACAUAGAAGUAGUAUAUCUAGAGUGCACAUCUCCCAGUCGCCUGAAUGGAAGCAGUUGAGGAAACCGACCGCCAUAUUGGAUAAGAAUAGCGGGGCAGCAAUAUAUAUACAUUUUCCAUUUUUUUCUUUAAGAAAUGGUCGAAUUAUCACUAUUUUGAUCGAACAUGGAAAAAUUAGUCGAAUGGAG